UUUCAGCUCCUGCUCUGCUUUCAAGCGGUCGCAUUCGAAUUCUCUCUUCUAAAAGACCUCGUUUUUUGUUGGUAACUGCUAAACGACAUGUUAGUCCCACGCUACAAUUCCAUGUUGGAGUUAAACGGUCAAGUUUGGUGUCGAAAUGUGAACAAUAUUGUGGCUACAAUGGAAGCUUGGCGACCAGCAGCCACGUGGACUCAAGCAAGGCGCACGUGCCAGAAUUCACUCGGCCAGGACGCCAUUGAAGCUGAAGAUUGGAGGUCAUGAGACACGGCGUUUGGGACGUGACAUAAAUGGUUUGGAGGUGUGCUGCUCAAGUUUCCAGAGCCUGGUCCAUGAUGGUGAGGUUCUGACCCAGCUGGGAGCACACUGAGGUUUCAUGAAGACCUGUCAUCUUCUACAUGUUCAUUGAAAUGCUGCAUGUUUAAGAUUGUCCACUGAGGGCUUCAGAGGUGGAACGUGACCAAAGUCUGGGCUUCCCUACAGAAAGGAUGGAUGGCUUCAGGAUGACCUUUCAUGUUAGUCAGGUUUCCUAAAGACCUGCCAUCUUCUACACGUUCAUUGAAAUGAUGCAUGUCUAAGAUUGUCCACUGAGGGCUUCAGAGGUGGAACGUGACCAAAGUCUGGGCUUCCCUACCGAAAGGAUGGAUGGCUUCAGGAUGACCUUUCAUGUUAGUCAGGUUUCCUAAAGACCUGCCAUCUUCUACAUGUUCAUUGAAAUGAUGCAUGUCUAAGAUUUUCCACUGAGGGCUUCAGAGGUGGAACGUGACCAAAGUCUGGGCUUCCCUACAGAAAGGAUGGAUGGCUUCAGGAUGACCUUUCAUGUUAGUCAGGUUUCAUGAAGACCUGCCAUCUUCUACACGUUCAUUGAAAUGCUGCAUGUCUAAGAUUGUCCACUGAGGGCUUCGGAGGUGGAACGUGACCAAAGUCUGGGCUUCCCUACAGAAAGGAUGGAUGGCUUCAGGAUGACCUUUCAUGUUAGUCAGGUUUCAUGAAGACCUGCCAUCUUCUACACGUUCAUUGAAAUGAUGCAUGUUUAAGAUUGUCCACUGAGGGCUUCAGAGGUGGAACGUGACCAAAGUCUGGGCUUCCCUACAGAAAGGAUGGAUGGCUUCAGGAUGACCUUUCAUGUUAGUCAGGUUUCAUGAAGACCUGCCAUCUUCUACACGUUCAUUGAAAUGAUGCAUGUCUAAGAUUGUCCACUGAGGGCUUCAGAGGUGGAACGUGACCAAAGUCUGGGCUUCCCUACAGAAAGGAUGGAUGGCUUCAGGAUGACCUUUCGUGUUAGUCAGGAUGUGGAACAUGGUCGGCCUUUUGAUGAGGAAGGAAAUGAUUCAAGGAGCAGCUUUUUUGUGUAUAAAUGUUUCAAAUAAAUUAAACAACUUUUAAUUUA